ensembl:ncRNA K10C3.7 ncRNA
AACUCUUCGAAAAUCCGAACCGAGGAAGGACACACCGUCGUCUCCGUGUACUUUAAUAUAUUACGAAACAUUGCAAGAGGAGAAAGAAGUGGGUGAGCUAGUGUGUGAUUGGUCACACUCACCUACACAAAAAAGGGCAAUAGAAAAGAG